UAGAGUGUUCAAAGCGGGCAGAUAUUUUUCCUGCCACCGAAUUCAUUAGCAUGGGAUAAUGGAAUAGGACCCGGACCUCCUAUUUUCAGUUGGUUUGGUUUACAGCGAGGUUAUAUCAGGGUAAUGAUUAAUAGGGAUAGUUGGGGGCAUUAAUAUUUAAUCGUCAGAGGUGAAAUUUUUGGAUUUAUGAAAGAUUAACCUUCUGGGAAAGCGUUUGCCAAGGAUGUUUUCAUUAAUCAAGACGAAAGUUAGGGGAUCGAAGACGAUCAGAACCGUCGUAGUCUUAACCAAAACGACCCGACCAGCGAUUAGGAGACGUUGAAUACAAAACACCGCUGUUAAUCCUUUCGGGGGUUAAUAGUUGGUGAAUGACU
rnacentral:rRNA from 1 species